rnacentral:rRNA from 1 species
GAUGAACGCUAGCGGGAGGCUUAAUACAUGCAAGUCGAGCGGGAUUCUCCUUCGGGAGAUGAGAGCGGCGCACGGGUGAGUAACGCGUACGUAACCUGCCUUACAGAGGGGAAUAGCCCUGGGAAACUGGGAUUAAUACUCCAUAGUAUAUAGAUGGCGCAUGCUGUUUAUAUUAAGGUUGAGGCGCUGUAAGAUGGGCGUGCGGUUGAUUAGGUAGUUGGCGGGGUAACGGCCCACCAAGCCUACGAUCAAUAGCUGAUGUGAGAGCAUGAUCAGCCACACGGGCACUGAGACACGGGCCCGACUCCUACGGGAGGCAGCAGUGGGGAAUAUUGGACAAUGGGGGAAACCCUGAUCCAGCCAUGCCGCGUGUGUGAAGAAGGCCUUUUGGUUGUAAAGCACUUUAAGCAGUGAAGAAGACUCCAUGGUUAAUACCCAUGGACGAUGACAUUAGCUGCAGAAUAAGCAACCGGCUAAACU